GCCCUGGUGGCCCAGUGGUUGGGCGUCGGACUACGGACCAGGAGGUCUCAGUGCGAUUCCUGGUCAGGGCA
rnacentral:tRNA from 1 species